rnacentral:lncRNA from 1 species
AAGUGUGCGUUAUAUCGGAACCUUAUCAUUCCUGUCUGAAUGUUCGCACAGGUCCAGGAAUGGAACGACAGGGCGACAGAGGGAGAUGGAGUCGUUGUAAAGCUGUCCAAAGGAAGCAUAAAGUUGAACAAAAAAGAAGAACAUGUAAGAUGAUCCUCUACACAACACACUAUUAGUUCAUUAACAGUCUUUGUCACAGCUAACAAAUCUUUGCUGUAGUGGUUGGACUGCUACUUCAAGCACAUCCGGCCAGAAUAUUUAAAGGCUCAACCUCCGAAGGGAGACGACAGGGACCGGUUCUUCCUGGGAGCUUCAGGACUUCCUCUUUGUAACCCAACAGCCGAUGUGCACAGACUGCGAGAAAAGUACGUCAAGAGGCUGCAGGAGAGACCUACGCCACCAGCAGAGCCACAGGCAGGAAAGGUGGUCAAUCCACGCCGGCCAACUGCUGAGGAGGAGCCACCACAGAUGCUGGAGAGGACAUCUCCACCUACUCCAGUGGUGCAGCUCCCAACUCCGAGGUUUUGGGGAGCUUUUGAAGACCUAUUUCCCGUUACCCUUCACGGGAAGCCUCCGACAAAGGUGCAGGCAGCAGAGGCAGGAUUUGAGGACCGCAGCUACUACCACUACUGGAGGAGGCUUCAGUACAAGCUGCGGGUACAGUAUACUCUUGAGCAAUCCACUGACAGGACUGGCCAAAAACCCCCAGCGUCUCGUGUCCAGCGUGCCAUUGCCAAGGAGACCAGGUGGACCACUAAUGUGCCAUCCAUGGGCAGUGUUCUGCUGGCGUGGGUGCCCUGCCAGGAACCGUCCCCUGUCGCAAAUGACCCUCUCCUCAUUGCUUCCGUGGUCCAUCAGAAGUGGAAAGGGCUGGCCAUUAAGCACUUCGAGGGGAAAGGCAAAGGUGUGACUACCCACAUUUGUAA